UUGAACGCUGGCGGCAUGCUUUACACAUGCAAGUCGAACGGUAGCAGGCCUUCGGGUGCUGACGAGUGGCGAACGGGUGAGUAAUAUAUCGGAACAUGUCCGGAAGUGGGGGAUAACGUAGCGAAAGUUACGCUAAUACCGCAUAUGCCCUGAGGGGGAAAGGGGGGGAUCGCAAGACCUCUCGCUUUCGGAGUGGCCGAUAUCAGAUUAGCUAGUUGGUGAGGUAAAGGCUCACCAAGGCGACGAUCUGUAGCUGGUCUGAGAGGACGACCAGCCACACUGGGACUGAGACACGGCCCAGACUCCUACGGGAGGCAGCAGUGGGGAAUUUUGGACAAUGGGCGCAAGCCUGAUCCAGCCAUGCCGCGUGAGUGAAGAAGGCCUUCGGGUUGUAAAGCUCUUUCGGACAGAAAGAAAUCGCACUGGUUAAUACCUUGUGUGGAUGACGGUACUGUAAGAAGAAGCACCGGCUAACUACGU
rnacentral:rRNA from 1 species